rnacentral:tRNA from 1 species
ACUUUAAUAAUUUAAAUAAAAUAUUGGUCUUGUAAACCAAAAAUAAGURAUACUUUUAAAGUA